rnacentral:hammerhead_ribozyme from 1 species
AUUCAGGUGACGAGUCCCAAAUAGGACGAAAUGCGCAUCCUGGAU